rnacentral:miRNA from 1 species
UAUCGAGUCGCAAUCAAAGAC